rnacentral:rRNA from 1 species
UCGGGUGGAUUUUCUUGCCCUUGAAACGAGCUUCCCGGAAACGAAAGUCUUUCGGUUCCGGGGGAAGUAUGGUUGCAAAGCUGAAACUUAAAGGGAUUGACGGAAGGUCACCACCAGAAAUGGGGCCUGCGGUUUAAUUUGACUCAACACGGGAAAACUCACCCGGUCCGGACACUAUAAGGAUUGACAGACCGAUAGCUCUUUCAUGAUUUGGUGGUUGGUGGUGCAUGGCCGUUCUUAGUUCGUGGAGUGAUUUGUCUGGUUUAUUCCGAUAACGAACGAGAUUAUAGCCUAGUUAAAUAGUCAAUUGAUUAUAAUUGUCGAUUGACUUCUUAUCGGGAUCUGCGGUUUUUAACCGUACGAAACUUAGCAAUAACAGGUCUGUGAUGCCCUUAGAUGUCCGGGGCUACACGCGCGCCGGCAAUGGACUGUUCAGUCCGUUGUUUCCAUGUUCGAGAGGACUUGGUAAGCGUGUCAAAUUAGUCCGUAUUUGGGCUCGGAGAUUGCAAUUAUUCUCCUUAACAAGGAACUCAAGUAAGUUAA